rnacentral:lncRNA from 14 species
AUGGCACUGUUUGACUGUGGACUGUUUGAAAAUAUACUGACAAAUAUUUAUUCAGGAACAGAAGAAAAAAUCCAGAAACUUAUGGAAAACAGAAAAAGACUGGAUCACAAGAUUGAGCUGCUGCAGGACUUAAAAGAAGUCAUCCUUCCUACUCCAGAGAACAUGGCCAGUACAUCCAGUACAGUGUCUGAAUAACCCCUCCCUGUGAUGGUGCAAUUGUUAGGAUUUUUAAUGAUAAAAACCAUAGACCAGUCUGAUCAGUGCCCAAUGCCCCAGCCACAAGAUGAGGGCUGAAUGGGUGCAAGAAUGUGGUGUUAUACUCAUUUUUAUACCUCACUGUUGCAAUACUUUAAAGUCCUUCAAGUUUUCAAACUUUCCUCUUCAAAUUUUUCCCUGGUUCCACUAUAAAUUUCUAUUUACAUUGCACAAUGGACUAUAAAUGAGUGUCAUUAACUAAAUUUAGCUUUUGCAAAAACUCAACAGAACCCUCCAGGGAAGACUUCUUUUCUCAAAGCCAGGGGAGUGUUCAGCUGCCACAGAACACUUGCUAAAUUCACUUAAACUGUGGGAGCCCUCUCCUGGCUGGGCAGUAGUGCCUCACUGUCUGUGUCUAGACAGGGAUGUUUGAAGGAUCAUAGUGCUGCUGUGGCUUUCCCAAAAAAGAUAAAUGAGCAGGACUCGCACCCAAAGAAGCCUUCUGGAUUACAAACAGGAGUUUAAUUUAAAAAGCCAAAUUAUUCUUUAUUGACUGGUCAAAGUGCACUGUUCCUGCUAUAAUGGCAGUGGUAAAGCAGUGGUUUGCAGGCAGACCAGAAAGGGUUGGGCAUUAUACUCAGAACAAGUACAAUGUCAAAUGGAGCAAAACAGUGACUGGAUCUUCCCUUCUCCAUUAAGAAAGGGUUCAACUUUCAUGUGUUUUGUCUUUAAAAUACCGUUUGAAUACAAAAAAGCCACAACAGGCUAAGUUAAUAAAAUAAAACAUUUUUUAAAGGAGCUGUGUGUGGAGUUGUGCUCCCUGUCCCUAAGCUGCUGCACAGGACACAGCCAAGAAGGGGGAAUGCUGUCAGGCCACGCUCUUGCUGAGGUACAAGCAGAGCACUGGCAAACACCACUUGGUGUGACACAUGUGACAUCCUGUCACAACAGCUGUACUCCCUCCAUGACCACUUGGAAUUCCUCACUUGGGCUUGCUCUGUAGGAAGGUGGGGAUUGAUAAGCACAGAAUAACAGCAUUCAAAAUCAGCUCUUGAACUAUAAGGUGUGCUUGAUUCAACAAAAUAAUAGUAAUUUUAAUUGCUUACAGAGUUCAAGUCCGCUGCCCUUCUGGGCCUAGAAACAUCACCAGUUUACUGCCCAAGGCCAGAACUUGAGGGCCACUCAGCCUGGGAAAAAACCCACCUAAACCAAAACUGCAUUAACAAGCUCUGCUAUUAAACACAGUAAGAAUGAUAAGGAUGGUUCAUACAUACCUUCUGAAGCAUUACAGCCACUUAAGGAUGACUUAGUAUAGAAAGUCAGAUGCACAGAGUGAACCACUGAGGUCUAAAAUUAGUGCCUACAAAGAAAUUUGUGAACUUCUGAAAUCAAGACCACAGGUGUUUUGUCAGGCACAGUGAAAUCAGCAAGAUUCAUUGUAUAGGGUAAGUUGGGUUUUGGCUUUAUUUGUUAUUUAUUUGGGUUUUCCUUUGUUGUUUUGAUGAAGUUUUUUAAAUGAAACAACUUAGAUGCUGUAUGUAACACAAAAAGCUUGCGAUGUUCUUCAAAAUCCAAAGUUUGCUAGUGAAGAGGUACAAAAAAGUAAUUUUAUUACAUGUAGUUUAAAUUUAGACAAUAAUUAAAAGCAAAAUCCCACCCAGCUUUCCCUUCCCCCUCUGAGGGAACCAACAUAAUCUGAAGUCACUGAAGAGUGGAAUUAUUUCCGUUAAGCAUUAUAAAUAUUGCUUGAACAGAUUCCACAAAGUACACAAAACAACUUAUAUUAAAAUAUACCCAAAUAUAGAGAUUUACUUCAAAUUAGUUUUUCUAGUAACUCCUUUCUUUGAAGUCACUUGCAGAGGCUUUGAAGAUACGUUAUUUUUGCACACUUGAAGCACUGGAUACACUUGGUUAAUUACACACAGCAAAUGGCCAAUUCAUCCACAAUCAUGCAAAUGCAGCAAGAGAUAACCAUGCCAUUUGCUCCUCUAUAAUCUCAGGGAGUUAAUGAUUUAAGUGACAUCAUUCAGUGGCUCAGGCCAGACUAUUUCCCAACCCCAGACAGUAAAUUGGAGAUACGAGCAGGCGGCGCUAGAACGGAGAUUUCCUGGGCUGGAAAGGCAAGUCCGGAACACCAGCCGGAAUCCUUUGCACACUGCAGCGUUUCCUCUCUGCCUGAAUCUUGAGCUGGAUCCACCAUCCAGGUUUGUUAAAUGCAAGUGAGUAUUUUGCUUGACAUUUUUACAACAGUUUGCACUGAAAACAUUUGUUUUCACUGUGGCCUUUCAGGUUCUGUGGUAGAAGAGACCAAGUAACACUUUCCUGGACCCACACAGUUACGUUGUAGCUGGAAAAAGAACCCCACAAACACCU